rnacentral:rRNA from 1 species
GACGAACGCUGGCGGCGUGCUUAACACAUGCAAGUCGAACGAUGAACUUGGAGCUUGCUCUGGGGGAUUAGUGGCGAACGGGUGAGUAACACGUGAGUAACCUGCCCUGGACUCUGGGAUAACUUCGAGAAAUCGGAGCUAAUACCGGAUAGGACCUUGCACCGCAUGGUGUGGGGUGGAAAGUUUUUCGGUUUGGGAUGGACUCGCGGCCUAUCAGCUUGUUGGUGAGGUAAUGGCUCACCAAGGCGUCGACGGGUAGCCGGCCUGAGAGGUUGAACGGCCACACUGGGACUGAGACACGGUCCAGACUCCUACGGGAGGCAGCAGUGGGGAAUAUUGCACAAUGGGCGCAAGCCUGAUGCAGCAACGCCGCGUGCGGGAUGACGGCCUUCGGGUUGUAAACCGCUUUUAGUAGGGAAGAAGCCUUCGGGUGACGGUACCUGCAGAAAAAGGACCGGCUAACUACGUGCCAGCAGCCGCAGUAAGAC